rnacentral:sRNA from 2 species
CACCGUUGGCAUGGAUUUCAAACCCAAAGCGUGAACAUGGUUCUAAAUCCCUCCUCCUCUACCUAGGACUGCUAGGUUAGGAUUUUUGAUGAAGAAAUAUCAAAGAUGGGCUGCCGUAGAUUCAUUCAAUGGAUGGUUUGGGCGCGCAAACCGGCGCUUAAGCUUUGCCUGGUGAACCUUGACCAUAUACGUAUCUAUCUAUCAAUCUAUACAUGAACCUUGAUCCUUACAAUAACUCAUUUGGAACAUAUCUUUCCCCCCAAGAACAUCCCGACACAGUAUGGAGUUCGUUAUCAAUCACUACGUAUCACACACAUCACAAGCGUUGUAUCGUCGAUACGGUACGCGGAAUUGCCUGCCCAGAGCCUGCCAAGCAGCCCAUUUCCACUCUCCGACCCGAUGUUCUGUGCAAAUUGGCCCCUUUGCCGGCUUGGUCGGAUCGAGGAACUGUAAUUUAUUCUUUCGGUGCACUGCAACUCUUACUUACAAUUCCC